CAGGUAACACGCUUCUUCAAUCAAUUACAACUAUCUUUUUACAAAUUAAGAAAGUUCGACUCAGAUACUAAAACUACAUAAAAACAUAUAAUCAUGUCUUCUUCUGAAUAAAAAUAUUGUAGUACACAACAGAUUCAGUUAUUGUGACCACUAUAAAUAUCUAUCUUCUAGUGCAAAUAUUUAUAUCCCCGGUUAUUGUGACGGCUAUCUAUAUUUAUCUUCUAGAACAGAUACUUAUAUCAAGAAGACAUACAUUUGCAAGUGUUUCUUGCUGCCAAAACCUACGUUUAGCUAAAAUAAGUAGACGUGGCAUAAAAUUUGAGAUGAGCAUAGCACAACAAGGCCAACUUGCCUCCAUGUCAGAGAAACAACAACUUGAUUGCUCCUACUUUCGUACGCAACAUCUGUGCUAGUACAUAACUAAGAGGACUACGAAAAAUGACGGGUGAUCACUCGGCGGCCGCCGAUGCACAUUUUUUACAUCGCUUCACUUCUUCGAAGAAUGAAUUUGCUGCCGUGUUCACCAUCUGAAGUUCAGUGCAUACAAUCAGAGGCAUGUUACCUCCAGAAAUCCCUAUCAAAAGACAGUGGUUUACUUCCCUGCAUUACAUUUGCCAAAAGAUACUAAGCAUAACAUUAACCCAUUUAGUUGUCUAGAUAACCAGAUUAAAUCAUAAGCAUUACAUGGUUCUUAUUUCAGUGAAAAGGAAUACCGUUGAAUAAUGAUUACCAAUGCAUGUCAGCAUGCAUAAUUCAGAAACCACACGUUUAAUCAUUUAGGGGGCAGAUACAUUUGUUUUCAGAGCCUGCAACUAUGAAAUGCUAGACAAGUUUAUUGUCCUACUAAAAAUAUGAGGAAAUUAUCAAUGUCAAAGUUGUUGUGUCUAGUGCCAAAAUUAACUACUAUAUCAGGUUAGGUCUGCUAGAAAUAAUAGUGGUAAGUAAGAAACGUGACAAAAAUUAAGCAUCGACUCAUAUGUAUACCUACAGAUCUAGCCAAAAGCUUUGACACGCAAGAACAACAAUAACAAUGAACCUGCUCGAGUCUCGGCAUAUACUUGACUUCCCGUGCAAAUCUAUUCGCUAUAUUACUUACCCAUAAAUCACUCUACAUCAUCUUCUUAUUUCUCUAACAACUAUAUCUGCAUGACCAAUCCAAGUUCACCACCUCUGUUAAUGACAUAUCCAACUCACAAUCCCCCCUUCCACCUCCACCAACACACUUAGAAUUUCAAACACUUACCGGUGCACUUGUCUUCCACAGCUCAUUAAUAUUUACACGGUGUAAUGCAACUUCUCGAACUUCAUCCCGGCUCAUUAACUCCACCACUCUAGCGCACACACAAAAUAUUGAUUAUGCUCUAUAGAACAAAGAACAAAAAUGACUUCACAUGCUAAAUAUUGAUUCUGACAAUGAUAUACUGUUUCGAAAAGCUGAUCAAUACUCGUAAGAUCUGUAGUAGGUACAGAUGUUGCAUAAGUUGAUGUACUUUCUGAAGCCGGGAUGACCAUGCUAGAAAAGCAAGUUGUUUGCAAAUCUAAUUGGAUGAAUAAACUGGAAGUACAAAUGUACUUAAAAUAAAGAAGUUUUGAUCAAGUUCAUUAAUAAAUAACAUGCACCAAACCACUUGUUAGAAUAAGGAUGCUAGAGAGAUUACUUGAAAUCCAUACAAGCAAGCAAUUAGAAUUUUGUGGUGCAGAAGAAUGACUUUGGGCUGUUAAAAAUAAAGAACAAUGAUUGUGUCUAUCUAUAUACGAUUUUCCUCUGCUCAAGCAAGCAAGCAAGAAUCAAACAACACAAUAUACAACAAUUUGAUUGCACACACGUUCAAACUGGAUGGAUACGUGCACAUUAGCAAACACCACCAAGUUGUGUCCAGACCAUUUGCAAUCAAAAGAUGAGAUGUGCAAGGAAGGGGGUGGAGCUCACCACACCAGGCCAGGGGGUAGGAGGAGGGAGUAGGCAGCCGCAGCAGCAAUGAGGGAGGGCUCGUCCUCGUCCACCUGAAGCAGUAGGAGCAGCAGCUGGUCCAGAUCCGAGCAAC
rnacentral:lncRNA from 1 species